CCCUCUUUGACUCCACCCCAACAACGCCCGGUGCACUCCCCGUCCUCCCCGACUCCUCCGUCGCGCCGUGUUCUCUCCGAUCCUGCAUCGCUCCCAGCGUCCUUCGUCCCCGCCUUGCGGAGCCUCGGCCGACUGACCGUCGAUGCCGCCCCGCGCAAACCAGCCCCGUCGGCGUCCCCUACGGACCCUCCGCUCGCGGUUGCCGCCGCCCCUGUCGCAUCGCCCCUCUCUCUCCCUUCGCGCUCGCGUUCGCCGCCGCCGCCGCCUCCGCUCUCCCACCUCCAUCGCGCGCUGCCGUCGCCCUCUCUCUACCCCCACUCGCCGUCGCCGUCCCGUCGCCGUCCGGGGGCUCCCCUCCACCUCCGAGUCCCUCGCGUCGCUCGAGGCCCGCGAGGCCGAAGUCCCAGCGCAACUCGCCGAGGCGGCCACCGCGCGUGGCUGAUGGGCUGAGUCCGCAGCGCUGCCUCCCAGCGACAUUCGGGGCGCCCUCCGGUGGAUAUGCCGCCGCAUGGACGAGAUCGGCGUCGCGAGAUUCCGAUGGCGCUCCCGCUGCCCCCUCCUCGUCGCGCUACUCCUACCGGCCGACGGUGCACGUGGAGUCGGACUUCACGAGCCCGUGCUGUUGUCGCCUUCUGUGGCCGCGGACGCCGUGGUGCUGCUGGCAUUGGGCGCCGCUUGCAGACCUCCGGCACACGGUAGCAGGGCCUCCAUUCACUGACCUCGCCCCGCACUAUUUCUGACUGAUUUACCACGCCCAGCAAAGACCUUGUUGAUGUGGAGGGCUGCGAGCCUGAGAGCAUUGUCCAUGUCUUCAGCAUCAGCAUCACCUUUCCUGCUGUGUGGCAGCCCAUCGGCGCCCUCCAAUCCGUUGGAAAAGGUAUUGCUUCACCUUUUGUCUAAGCAAAUUCUCUCCAUUCUGCUUAUGAUCUGUUUUAUCAGCAUACCUGGUACAUGAUCAUUACCCUGUUAAUUGGAAUUAUCACUUUAGAAUAGCUGUUCAGGGAGACUAGGAGGUAGGCUAUCCUUGAGUACCCUAUUCUUGGUAUUCUGUAACUUUUUUCAGUUUCUCUCGAUGCAUCUUCUGAAUUCCAUAUUUUGAUCUGUUCAAAAUAAAUCUUGCAAAUAUUGGUAGCCAGAUGUGUGCCGACAUUGAAUUAUUCUGGAUGUGAAAGUGAUCUUAGGUUGAUCUUAGUCUGGAAAAAUAAGACAAUGUCGUACUAUUAUAAUCCUUGUUCAAUGGAUAAAUCAGAUGUGUUCACGCUUACUAUUCAGAGGUGCAGCUUCCUGAAUUGGUCCCCAGUUGUUCUGUGCAUUAUGCAGUAAGAAUAUCAAAUUAUCUGCCAGCAAUUUAAACAACAGUUUGUAUCACAGCUCUAAGUCGCAAUAAUUUACAUGAACAAGAAUCCUAACUCUAUAUGCUUGAAUUCUAUCUAAUCAAUCCAACAUCACAUUAGUGCAGACAUCAACUUGUAUGCUCUUCAGUUUAUAACGGUAUCGUAGAUUGCCGCAAUGAUGAUUUAUAUACAAUUCCCUCAAUUCUUCAUUUUAUUUGUCUGGCUAUGAAAUUACAACCUCUCCAUCUUAGUUUUGGAGCUGCCAUGAUAUGCUAACAGAUAGUAUUGCUUAUGAUAGACCACAACCUGAGCCAACGAACCUGAGCCAAGGAAUCACAAAAAACAAUUGAAGGACUUCAUUAUUUUUAAUCUGAUUCUAUUACCAAGGUUUAAUGGGUUAUCAGAUUUGUACAUUGAUAAUUUGUUAAAGAUAGAGAAACUACAAUAGUUAUGGUAUAUGUACCUUUAGAUGAUCAACUUUGGCAGUAAGUGGGUCCUCUGCAUAUAGUAUGAUAUCUGGUCCAUUUUUUUGUUUGGUAAAUAUGGAACAAUUGCAUGUCUGUUUCUCUUAGCUCUGGUUCUGGUGGCCAUGCUGUAACUCCAGAGCCACUUAAUGCGGAGGUAAUUGUUUCUAUGUAAGCUGCAGGAAAGCCCUCUCGGAACAUACAAAAAUGUUACUGGAUCUUCUAAAUCUCUAUGCUUUCCAUGCCCUCCAGAAGAACUCCCUCACCGUGCUAUGUAUGUAAAUGUCAGAUGUAAUUCUUUCUGUUUGUUUUUCUUUUGGUGCAGUACAAACUGGAGGUUCUAUCUUAGAACAAAAUCUAACAGGUUUUGAAUUUGCUGGCUUGCAAUGUCUUGUUUUCUAUUUGACACCUUUCUUUUUAGUUUGUAUAUUACUGUGCUAGAUAGGCAUCAAAAUAAUGUUACUUCAAUAUUUCUAACUUUGCUUAUGUUUGACAGGAGGUGCUUCUGAAACUCCAUGUCCCUACAGAUGUGUGUCUAACAGACAUCACAUGCCUCACUGUUAUACAGCUCUAGAGGAAUUAAUAUACACUUUUGGAGGACCUUGGUUAUUUGGCCUACUUCUUUUAGGCCUUCUUAUCUUGUUAGCUCUUGUUUUAAGUGUUGCUCGUAUGAAAUUUGUCGCCACUGAUGAGUUACCUGGGCCAGCGCCAACCCAUCAACAGUCCCUAAUUGAUCAUUCCUUUCCCUUCCUAGAAUCAAUAAAUGAGUUACUUCAUACCUUUCCUAUGUAGCUCAAGCUCACAUCUUAGGUGCCAGUGCUGUCCUUAUUUUUUUUUGGGGAUGAUUGGAGCCGUCCUGAAUUCUGAUAGAAUUUUUGAUAUUUCUAUAGGUCUUGGAAACUAAUACUCUAAUAGGGCUCAAGAGUCACAUGAACGCGUACACAGGAUGUAUUUCAUAGGUCUCAACACCUUCAGUGAACCAUGGCAUCAUAUCUCCCAUGCAGUCCACCAGAACAAAUAACAGAGAUUAUAUGAAGAUGUGUUUAAUCGAUUUGUUGAUGAUAUAAACACCCUUGCAGCUUAUCAAUGGUGGGAAGGAUCUAUUUAUAGUAUCGUAUGUAUCCUUGCAUACCCCCUGGCUUGGUCAUGGCAACAGUGGCGUAGGAGAAAAAAAUUACAGAGACUUAGUGAACUUGUUCGUUCUGAAUAUGAUCAUUCAUGCUUACGUGCACUCUAUGAAGGCCUCAAGGUCUGACUUGGUUUCAUAGAAAAUUCAAAUCCCUUUUCACUUGGUCAUUCUCAUAAUUUAUUCAUGUGCAUUUAAUUUUGUUUUUAAUUUGUUCAAAGAGGAUGCUUAUGUAUUGGUUCAAAACAGCAUGCAUAUUGCUAGAUUGUAAUGUCAAAUGAUCUCAAAACAGUACUUUUUAUCCUCAUCUUAUUAUGUUAGAAAAAAUUUCCGGCUAUCAUGGUUCUUGAGACAGAUUUUGCAACAAUGGCGAGCAAGCUCCAGAUGACAUUGCUGGACAUAGUCUUAGUGCGCCCCUUGAGUAAGGUGACACGCGUAAUCGAGUUUAUAUCACGUGUAGUUGCUACAGUAUCAGCCGCUGCAGUACCAGCCGCUACAGUUUACAUCCUCUCACAAAACCCAGCUGCUACAGUAAACAGCCGGGGCAAAACCACCAGCCGAACAGGCUUUAGAACAUGUGUUGGACUUCGUGAUUUUCUUUCUUCUUUCUUUCGGAGUGCAUGAGGACACUUAUCCGUAAUGAUUUUUCUUGAUAUUAAUAAAUCUCUUAUCUCCGCAGAAAAGUUUGCUCAUUAAUUUUGUUUUUGAGGAUUAGAAAUAUUAUGAAAGUAAUGUCAAUUGAUACUGGGUUGCAAAUUUUGGCCUUUUGUUACUUUUUUAAGUUGUCUUUUUUUUUUCCAAAUGAUCUUGUGUUGUGCUAGGUCUUCGUCUUUUGAUGGAAAGUACGAUACCUCCCUCAACAGUCAUUCUUCAUGGUGGGAGGCAGUGAGGAAGUCAAUUUAAUAAAUAUGCAUCACUGUCUAACCUAUUGCUUAUCAAGAAUGCCUAGCAGCCCUUACAAAUCUGAAUGUCUAUGUUAAUAGCAACAUGCCUCUUAUGUUGUACUUUGAUUGAAUAUUUUGAUGUGAUUAUCCGAUUGGUGGUUUGAUUUACAUCAAGAUUUGACUUGUAUACUUUUUUGUUUACGCUAACUCCCGUAGUAACGCACGGGCAUUAAAUUAAACUAGUACCUAAAAAAAAUGAACUUCUGUUUACCGCUCCCGUGCGUCUGCCUCCCCGUGGCUCUGCCCCAUCCCCGUGCGCUCCAUUCGAGCAGAGCAGUUUCAGUUCGAGAGGGUGCCCUCCGCCACCCCGUGCGUCUGCCUCCCCGUGGCUCUGCCUCCGCUCCGUGGCUCUGCCCCAUCCCCGUGCGCCCCAUUCGAGCAUAGCAGUUUCAGUUCGAGAGGGUGCCCUCCGCCACCCGUCCACCACGCUCGACGGUUCCCCGGCGCCGCUCCCCGCUCUGCGCCUGCCUCCUUCCCCCUCUCCACGCCCACCCCCUCUCCCUCGCCCUUGCGCCUCCCCCUCCCCCUCGCCCUCACGGCAGGCUGCCGAUGCCCCGCCGCCGGCUCACCUUCUCCCUCGCCCUCGCGCCUGGCCGUGGGCCUGCCCUCAACGCCGACGGCCGCGGGCCUGCACGCGACGCCUCGCCGCGGUGGCCGCGCACGACGCCCCCGCCACCGGCCAUCCUCCUGGCGCGGAUUCCCCACGUACGGUGCCCCCCCCGCGGCCACUGCCCUCCACACCGCCGCCCGCUCGUCGCCAUGCGACGCCUCGCCGCGCUGCCGCCCUCCCGGCGCGGAUCCCCCACGCUUGGUGUGCGUGGCCGCCGCCCUCCACGCCGCCGUCCCUCGCCGCAGCAGCUAGCCACCCUAAUCAGUGGCUAGCAGGUACCUGUCUAGGAAGAAGCUAGCAUGUAUUAAAUUUCAUGGCGUCAUUCGAAUAAUUAUAAUGCUGUGAGGGAUGGGAUCGUGUCCUCCAAUACGUAUUAAUUAGAUCAAAUACAUAUUAAUUAGAUCAAAUUUUGUUUCUCCUGCAUGCAGCCACUUGAUUAGAUUUGGUAACUAGGGCUAAUCUUGCCGGAAAGGAUCUGACGUUGCAGUGCUUACACACAGAAGUGUGAAUCUGUCAGAUCAACUGAAUAUUCAGAAUUCAAAGCAACUGAAUUUGAAAUCUUGGACAUAAUGAUACAACUUACACGCAUGACCUAAUCCUUUGAUGUGAUAGACCAUGACUAAACAUUAUUCUUGUUCAAAAAAGCAUGCUGUUUGUGCGGAGUUAUUUGAUUCAUGGCUUAUCUGAUUUGUUUGCCUCGUGGCUUAUGCUGGUUGCAGCUCGAUGAAUUGUCAUGGCUUAUCCAAUAAGGCCAGAAACAAGGGAGCAGAAAUUGUAGUCUACAAGACUGAAUGGAGAAUUAGCAUCAAGUCUAGACAGCACAUCAGGAAAUAACAGACUAAUUUCUGCAGAAAACAUUAUCAUACAUUUCAAAGUACCUUAUUUAUCUGAUGAUUGAUCACAUCUGUUUUGAGGUUAUUCUUUUACCUAGAUCUUUAUGCAGGGGCGGAGGUUGGACAGAUCCUCAAGCAACCACCAAAUUCAAAAAUUUGAGCAAUUCAUCACCUAUCAAGUGAAAUACACAAGGAUGACAUGCUAUCCUUAAUGAUUCCUCGCUCCAGCCUUGGCUUUGUAAACUGUGUGGAGCACACUAGCGCACAUGAUAUCAUAUUUUUUUCCCUUAUCUACCUGAACAUGCAUAAUUUGUUUGCAUUCACAAUGGCCAUGGAAAGCAUUUCAUUAAUAUAGCAUUGGAACCUCAUCUCAAAUCUUUAUGUUAAAUAGAAUUGCUUUCAGAGUAAGGACGUUCAGUUUACAGGUCAGAAUAAUAUCUCUUGUUGUUAAUAUUUAUGAGAAGUAAUGUUUCAGUAUAACUAUGUCCCAGCAUUAAUGCACUAGCGCUAUACAGAUUCUCAAAUAACUGGAGGCUGUUUUUAGUAUAAAGAUUGAUCCAACAUUUAAAAAAAAAAGCUCUAGAAAUCAAUAACCUUAUCUUUUUUUGGACCUUCUCAGGAUCAUCCAUAUAUACUGUUGUUGUUUAGAAUGAGAAAUGCAGAAAUCAAGACUUUUGAUAUAGAUUUAGUUUUUUUUUGUUACAACAUGCUGGAGUGUAUUUCAGAUUCAUAUGUGCUUAGAAAACGGAUAAUUAAUUAUAAAGCAAUUUGUUGUUUGGGAUGUUAGCUCUCAUGUCUAAUUCACUUUAAAAUCUAAUGACUUUGAUUUGUAUACACAAUUGUCAAUCUGUAUUUACACCUGCUCUAACCCAGUCAUCAUUGUUAAGUGUAUUGAAUUAACAUGUUCUGUUCUAUCUGCUAGCUAGCAUGGCACUUUCUAUUGUAUUUAUAACUUUAUUAGUAAGUGCAGAUGUUCUGAAAAUAGUAACUAAAUUACUCCCCUUUCUUGUAACUUCAGGUUUGUCAAAUUGGUUGAGUUAUUGUUAGGAUGAUCUAAACUUUGUGACAGUGGGUCCAUGACAAGGUCUGCAUACUGCCUCUGAAAAAAGCUGUCAAAGAGCCUAAAGUGAGUCGAUGAUAUACAACAUCGAUCAUAGAAGGAUUUGAUCCCAACAACAUUGGCUGCAUCAAGAUUGCAUGAUGAUAACAUGAGAAACGGAUUGAUAAGAGAGCAAGGCCAGUGAGAAGUGAAGUUAUCUCAGAAAUUCAUGUUUCUAGGAUUGGGAAGGGAGCAGCGCGGAUUUUAAGAGCUUAGAGAAUGAAAUUAUGGGGAUCCCUUUAGGAUGAUUCCCCCGUUUAAUCCUUUUAGCUUAGUUGUGAUGCCCAAGUUACUAAUGGAAAUGUUCUGAGAUGAAAGGAUACCGGUUUAGUAACAUGUAGAAUUGGUUGGAACUACGAUGUAAUACAUGAUAGGAAAGCCCUUGCUCUUGCUCUGUGUUCCAAGGGUCUGAAUAUUGUUCUCUCCUCUGUUUUUGUUGCAGUAGGCACAUGAGUAUCAAGUUUUCGUCGAAAAUUGAUAAUUAGUGGAUUAAAUUGUUUGGAACAA